ensembl:lncRNA
ACACAGUCCCAGACGCGCUAACACACCGACUCGCUGCAACCGAACCUGCAAGGCCGCGAGACUCCGGCGCUAAUUUGAGAGACGUCACAUGAGCCGAACAGAUUCUCACUUUUCAUUCUCCUAACUACGCUGUCAAAGGAGUGCGGUGAGGAAUCGUGGGAAAUGUACGCCACGCACCGGAUGACGGCUUCUUCCCCGACGAGGUCGGAGCGCCCGUCCCGUUCCCAGACCCAGUGUGAGAAAGGUUCUCUCCCUCUCCUCAAAACCUUCCCGAUGUAACAUGUCCAACAGCUCUAGAAGCUCGGAGGAAGAACGCUCAGGAAUGUUACAGAAAAGCAGAACCCAUCUUCACAGAGCACCCUGCCACUCAUGGGACGUCGGGAUGCCGGAUAUGAUGGGCGUAUGAUGUUGAGAUCCGUCUUUUCACACACCGAGGACGACUGAGGGACGUUC